GAUGAACGCUGGCGUCGUGCCUAAUACAUGCAGGUCGAGCGAACAGACGAGGAGCUUGCUCCUCUGACGUUAGCGGCGGACGGGUGAGUAACACGUGGAUAACCUACCUAUAAGACUGGGAUAACUUCGGGAAACCGGAGCUAAUACCGGAUAAUAUAUUGAACCGCAUGGUUCAAUAGUGAAAGACGGUUUUGCUGUCACUUAUAGAUGGAUCCGCGCCGCAUUAGCUAGUUGGUAAGGUAACGGCUUACCAAGGCAACGAUGCGUAGCCGACCUGAGAGGGUGAUCGGCCACACUGGAACUGAGACACGGUCCAGACUCCUACGGGAGGCAGCAGUAGGGAAUCUUCCGCAAUGGGCGAAAGCCUGACGGAGCAACGCCGCGUGAGUGAUGAAGGUCUUCGGAUCGUAAAACUCUGUUAUUAGGGAAGAACAAAUGUGUAAGUAACUAUGCACGUCUUGACGGUACCUAAUCAGAAAGCCACGGCUAACUACGUG
rnacentral:rRNA from 1 species